rnacentral:lncRNA from 10 species
GCCCUCUGGAUGGCAUGAGUAGGCAUCAGCUUGGAGUGGGAGAAACUAUGAGUCACUUGGUUGUUUUCAGUAAGUGGCAGGGAGUUUAAAAAGAGAACGGAUAGCUACAUUCCAAAUCGCAAAAAAUGUAAAAAAUCAUAUGGGCAUGAAUAACAUUCAGCCACAAAUAUUUAUGAAGCUUCUGCUGUGUGCCAGACAAAAUGGCUGGGUAUUAGGACUAUGACAGUGAAGAUAACACAGCCCUUGCUCUCAAGGAUUUACAGUUGAUGAGAAAGGCAGACAAAUCCAGGAGGCAUUAUAAUCCACCAUGACAGCUGCUGAGCUCUUCUGUGGGAAUUUGCAGCAGUGGCACCCACAUAUGUGGGCAUUUGGAGAAAGUGGGGAAAGCUUCCAGGAGGAAAUGAUGUCUUAACUGGGACAGAAGCAAGAAGAGUCAGCCAGAUGGAAACGAACAUCAUGCGCCUCUCAGCAGGAUGCGCUGAGGAAGACAGGACUUGUGUAGCCUUCUGUAGAAGUGCAUAAUCUGAACGGGAUCACAAGGAGCAAAAUCAGACAUGCCCAGAUGAGGGGCAUCUACACACUCUGCAUUCUUCAAAAAUGGCUCAGCGCGAAGGACAAAGCAAGGCUGAGGAGCUAUUCCAGAUUAAAGGAGACUCAUGUGACCUGGCAACUGCACGCAACAUGUGAUUCUGGGUUGGAUCCCAGAACAGGGAAGAACAAUUCUUUAAAAGCUUGGAUCUCCUGACCUUGGCCUGGACCUGGAUCUGGGAGGCUGACUCUAUUGACCAUGGGGAAGGAGCUAACAGGAUUGAACCUCAGGACCGUCCUCUGCAAAAUGAGGAAUUUAGGCUAGCACAGUGGUUCUCAAAGUGUGGUCCCCAGACCAGCGACCUCAGCAUCGCCCUGGAACUAGUUAGAAAUGCACAUUCUCUGGUCCCAACCCAGACCUACUGAACCAGUGCCUCUGGGAGUGGAUCCCAGAAAUCUGUGUUUUAACACACGUGCUAUCUAGGAGGUUCUGAUGCAGGCCAAAGUUCGAAAACCGCUGAACUGGAAGAUCUCUAAAAUUCCUCCUAGGAGAUAAACCUUUAAGACUUGCUAUAAGAAUUAAGUGCCAUGAUUAUGGUGCAUAUUAUUUAUGAAACUUGUUCAAUGUGCCCUGCCCUUCCUAUUCAUUAUCUCUACAACCUCCUUCUAAAAUAAGUAUCAAUUAAAAGUAUUUUCCAAAUGAGCAAAAGGAGGCCCGGAGAGGUUAAAUAAUUCAUCAGGAGACACGCAGCUGGAGAUGAACAGGAGGAGGAUUUGAAUGGGAAGCCAUCUCAGUGUGCUCUCUCUACUACCUCCCAUGAGCAAACACAGUGACAAGUGAACUCAAUGAAUAUCAUUUUCCGGUGAUUCUGUGACCUUUGAGUACCUGCAUCCUCCUACCUUAACCAACUUUGCCAGCCUCCUUCACUGCCCUACCUGAUCGACAGUAAUUUCCAGCUCUCUUCCUUCCCCCAUGCUCAGCCCAACACCCAGCCCUGGCUUUCUCACCUUCCUGGGACCCCCUGCGUUCCACGGUAGUGAACAGAGACACACGACAGCCAUUCCGUGGAUCUACAGUGACUGUUCUCCUGGACACAGAGCCAACGUGGCUACUGAAGGAAAGAGGCCAGUCCUAAGUUCAGGAUCUGUGACGGCCUGGAAAAUGUACUCUGUCCCCCCACAACCUCCCGCUACAACCUCCCCCUAAAAGAAAAACUUUCUACAGGUGAUGUUGAGAUUGCCACAGGCUUUGGUCCUCACAGACUGCAAAUACCUAUGGGAGAAAGAAUGCUUCCACAGAGGAGCGCCGAGGGGAAGGAGAGCACCUCACUGGGAUGGGAUGGGAGUGGGGUGACAGCACCGCCCAGAGGCAUACAAGCUGGCCUCUCUCUGGUUUUGUGGAGGCGGCCCUUGCUGGUAUCCUAGAGUUGUCUCCCUGGCCUGCUUAGCAACGCACAGCUCCUAGGGGCCAUCACCCACUAGGAGGGCAGGGCCUUUUGUCUUUUUUUUUUUUUUUUUUUUUGAGACAGAGUCUCUGUCUAUCACCCCAGCUGGAGUGCAGUAGCAUGAUCUCGACUCACUGCAACCUCCGCCUCCCGGGUUCAAGCGAUUCUCCUGCCUGCCUGAGCCUCCUGAGUAGCUGGGAUUACAGGAGUACGCCACCAAGCCCGGCUAAUUUUUUAUUUUUAGUAGAGAUGGGGUUUCACCAUGUUGGCCAGGCUGGUCUCAAACUCCGGACCUCAUGAUCCACCCACCUUGGCCUCCCAGAGUGCUGGGAUUACAGGUGUGAGCCACUGCACCCGGCCAGAUUUUUGUCUUUUUACUGUUGUAUCUCCCCACAUAGUAAGUGCCUAAUCAAUUGAGUUGAAUAAAUGAAUUCUUG